rnacentral:rRNA from 1 species
AUACGGAGGGUGCAAGCGUUACUCGGAAUCACUGGGCGUAAAGCGCGCACAGGCGGCUAUUUAAGUUGGAUGUGAAAGCCUACGGCUCAACCGUAGAACUGCAUCCAAAACUAUUUAGCUAGAGUGUGGGAGAGGAAGAUGGAAUUAGUUGUGUAGGGGUAAAAUCCGUAGAGAUAACUAGGAAUACCAAAAGCGAAGGCAAUCUUCUGGAACACUACUGACGCUGAGGCGCGAAAGCGUGGGGAGCAAACGGGAUUAGAAACCCUUGUAGUCC